rnacentral:rRNA from 1 species
UCCAGAUAGAAUAUUCUAUGGCCAGUCUCAUCUGAUCUUGGAAGCUAAGCACGGUCAGGCCUGGUUAGUACUUGGAUGGGAGACAGAGAGGAGAGACACUCGAGCACUGGGG